rnacentral:rRNA from 1 species
CUUAAAUUGAAGAGUUUGAUCAUGGCUCAGAUUGAACGCUGGCGGCAGGCCUAACACAUGCAAGUCGAGCGGAAACGAGUUAUCUGAGCCUUCGGGGGACGAUAACGGCGUCGAGCGGCGGACGGGUGAGUAAUGCCUAGGAAAUUGCCCUGAUGUGGGGGAUAACCAUUGGAAACGAUGGCUAAUACCGCAUAAUGCCUACGGGCCAAAGAGGGGGACCUUCGGGCCUCUCGCGUCAGGAUAUGCCUAGGUGGGAUUAGCUAGUUGGUGAGGUAAGGGCUCACCAAGGCGACGAUCCCUAGC